CAGUGCCGGUCGCGCGGUCACGUGGUCGGCGGCGGGCCGCGAGGGCGGCGCGGUGCCGGGUUUGUCCGCUCCUCCUGGCCGUGUCAUGCGUUCGUGGGGUCCGGGGCCUCCCGGGGUCGGUGCCGCUUACGUACGGGAUAGGGACGGAGGGCCAGGAUCGGCAGCAGCGGAUUCUUGUCCUCAGCCUGAUUUCGCUCUCCUUUCCCUGGCCGAAUUCCGUGCCACGUUACGCGUCCUCCAGGGGGAGGUUGGAGCUGAUGGGCAGCCGGCGGCUGGGGGCUGUGCGGGGUUCUUGUGCCACUGAUGCUGCAGCAGCGUGUCCUCCGUGCUCCCUUCGCUGAGAUGUGCUGUGUGUGCUCUGUGGCUGUGCUGAGGCUGCACGUAAGAUAUCAUGAUGGCACUGAGUUAUCUGAGAUGCGCUAUGGAAAUGAUGAGAAUGACUUCUGAGGCUGUGAGCGGUGGCUGAUGAGAGAAGCUAAAGAGAGGAACCUCAAAAUUGAACUGACUGAUAUGCAAUGAAGGGACAUUUCAUGGCAAAUGGAUGAAAAGAAGAGACCUUCAUCCUGUGACUACUUUGCUUCCUGACCUCUCGUGGUAGCUGCAGGCAUGAAGCACUAACAGCAACACAGGGUCCUUAGACUUUUUUUUUUUAAUCUUUUAUUUUAUUUACUAAGCUUUUAUUUUGAACUUCAUAAGUCAGUGUAUACUAAGGAGGGCAUUUUAAAGGAAGCUGCAAUUGAACCGUAUGAACUCAUCUUCUUACUGGUUGGAAAACAGCUUAUUUUGUAAGUCAGAGAUCCAGAAUUCUUUCAGAUUCUCAAGUGUUCCAGUGGAUAUGAUGCCCUUUAAUUAUUGAUGUACAGCUGCAGGCUUUCAUUACAUGGUCUGAUUUACUUUUUCCAUAAAGUAAGAGCUCAGUAUUUUAACUGUGCAAAAGUCAAUACCUAGUUUAGAACAUGAAUUGGAAAGAGACAGUAUUUCACAUUGGGUAACACUGUGCUGUCACUGUUUCCUUCCCUGCAACCCCUGUUUGGAAGCUCACUUCUCUUCAAGUUAUGUUAUGCUGAAGUGGAAUCUUAAUAUAAGUUCUACUAUAUUCAUUAUUCAUGUCCUUGUUGCUGCUUUGAGGCUAAGAAGGAAAUGCAUUUCUUCUCAAAAGAAGGUAAGGGCUAAGCUGAGAGUGAAGAAAACUGCUGAUUCUUUUUUUCCUCUCCACGCACAACUUGGCAGAAAUUGGAUCCCUUCUGCUUAAAAUCAGUCAGUCAGCAGCUAUUAGAAAAGUUCAUUUAGUUUUUGUAUGCUGUACACCUUGUGUACAGUUGUGUCAUUUGUCCAUGGCAGCAUCUGCAACUAUUUUAUUCAGUGAUUAGUUUUAGCAGAAUAAUACAGAAAAUGGUGUACAACAGUUAAAUGUGACGUGACAUUAGGAGGGAAAAACCCUUUGUAACUUCAGUGUCCUUCACAAGGCUGGCAUAGAUAACAUUCUGCCUGCUCCAGGAAGUGCUCUCCUCUGAAACACUUUAUCUUCAUUUGUAUGUAAGGCUGUGUGAUACACUUGUAGUCUGUUAAACUGAUCUAUGGUCAGAGUUUAUAGCAGGACAGGUAAGCAGGAAUUUUAUAAAGAAACUUCCUUAGGCAUUGAGCUAAUAAACUCUGAUCACCUGCAAGAGGCUUUCUGAGAAAUAGCAAUUAUAAUAUGGUGUUGCAUAACUAAUUUUUCUGUGGUUGUUUUGUUCCUGAUUUGCCUACAGUAGGCAGGACUUGGCACCUCAGCGAGUUUAUAGUGCUUUAGGAAACAUGCAUUGCAUACUUUAAUUACAUAGACACGUUUUACAUAUGGACUUGUAUUACUCACUUCCACCACUCUGUUUUCAGAGAAACUGGUGAGAUCCAGAAGCUCACUAGAUCUCUGUACUUUUUUGUUACAAUAAUGUCUGGAUUCUCAGUUCCCAUUUAGUUGUGAUGGCAGUGCAGUGUUUGGGAAGCAUGCAGCCAGCUGACUUGUUCUUCUCGAUCUGGGUUUUGUCUCACAGUGAUCGUGUUUUUACCUUUGUAUAAUCAGUAGUCUUCAUUAGGGAGGAAGUCUUGUGAAGGAAAUGUUGGUCACUGUCAGUGAGUCGCUCUGCAGCUCUUGCAGCUCACCCAGCAUGCCUUUUGCAGCUCAGCUUGUUGCCAAGGCGUCCAAAAAGAGCCGAGUUGGGUGCUAAGUCGUAAAUGAAGCUGCAUGUUUCAGUUGGGACCUUGUGCUGUAUCUUGCUGUUGAUAAUAAAUAUUGAAAGCUUGGCCUAAGGCAGUACAAGACUGUGCUGCUUCUCCUUUAGCGUGUUAAGGUUACAGGUCACCAAGGGCAAUAUCAGAAUGAAGCUUUGCUUUAGCAAGCUGUGGUGGUGGCCCCGCACGGCCUCCUGCACGAUCUGCCUUUCCUGUUGGCCAUACCUGCCUAUUCCGUCAUUUCGUUGGCUGCCGCCGCCGCCGCCUGUUAUAAGCAUGCCCCGCCUCCGACCCUUCUUCUGGGAGAGCCCCGCCCGCCCCUUCGCCUCUGCGGAGCCAAUUGGCUGCCCUGGCCGUCACUUAAAGCUCGGGCGGAGGGGCAAUUAGGC